rnacentral:rRNA from 1 species
UACGUAGGGCGCAAGCGUUGUCCGGAAUUAUUGGGCGUAAAGAGCUCGUAGGCGGUUUGUCACGUCGGCUGUGAAAACCCGAGGCUCAACCUCGGCCUGCAGUCGAUACGGGCAGACUAGAGUGCGUGUAGGGGAGACUGGAAUUCCUGGAUGUAGCGGUGAAAUGCGCAGAUAGUCAGGAGGAACACCGGUGGCGAAGGCGGGUCUCUGGGCCGUAACUGACGCCGAGGGAGCGAAAGCGAUGGGAGCGACGAGG